CCUACGGGCGGCAGCAGUGAGGAAUAUUGGUCAAUGGGCGCGAGCCUGAACCAGCCACGUCGCGUGAAGGAUGACUGCCCUCCGGUUGGUAACCUUCUUUUAUAAAGAAAUAAAGUCAGUCACGUGUGCCUUUUUGUAUUUACUUUAUGAAUAAGGAUCGGAUAACUCCUUUCCAGCCGCCGCGGGAAUACGGAGGGUCCGAGCGUUAUCCGGAUUUAUUUGGUUUAAAGGGAGCGUAGAUGGGUUGGUAAGUCAGUUGUGAAAGGUUGCGGCUCAACCGUAAAAUUGCACUGGAUACUGGCAGUCUUGAGUAUGGGUGAGGUAGGCGGAAUUCGGGGUGUAGCGGGGAAAUGCGGAGAUAUCACGAAGAACACCGAAUGCGAAGGCAGCUUACUGGACUGACACUGACACUGAGGCUCGAAAGUGUGGGUAUCAAACAGGAUUAGAUACCCCGGUAGUC
rnacentral:rRNA from 1 species